UACGAAGGGGGCUAGCGUUGUUCGGAAUUACUGGGCGUAAAGCGCGCGCAGGCGGUCUUCCAAGUCAGUGGUGAAAGCCCGGAGCUCAACUCCGGAAUUGCCAUUGAAACUGUUGGACUUGAGGAUGAGAGAGGUGAGUGGAAUUCCCAGUGUAGAGGUGGAAUGCGUAGAUAUCGGGAGGAACACCAGUGGCGAAGGCGGUUGCCUGGAGCUUUGCUGACGCUGAGGCGCGAAAGCGUGGGGAGCGAUCCGG
rnacentral:rRNA from 1 species